CCCUGGUGGCUCAGAUGGUAAAGUAUCUGUCUGCAGUGCAGGAGACCCGGGUUCGAUCCCUGGAUCAGGAA
rnacentral:tRNA from 1 species